UACGGGGGGGGCAAGCGUUGUUCGGAAUUACUGGGCGUAAAGGGCUCGUAGGUGGCCAACUAAGUCAGACGUGAAAUCCCUCGGCUUAACCGGGGAACUGCGUCUGAUACUGGAUGGCUUGAGUUUGGGAGAGGGACGCGGAAUUCCAGGUGUAGCGGUGAAAUGCGUAGAUAUCAGGAGGAACACCUGUGGCGAAAGCGGCUCACUGGACCAUAACUGACGCUGAUGCACGAAAGCUAGGGGAGCAAACAGG
rnacentral:rRNA from 1 species